rfam:Triticum aestivum genome assembly, contig: Triticum_aestivum_CS42_TGACv1_scaffold_225387_3B
CUGACAGAAGAGAGUGAGCACACGCGGUGGUUUCCUAGCAUGCGAGCGCCAUGCUUGGAGCUGCGCGUGCUCACCCUCUCUCUGUCAG